rnacentral:rRNA from 1 species
AUGGCAGCAAAGAAACAUCUCUUUCGCUUUGGGUCUUUCGAGAUAAAGGACAGGUCGGACAUUCAUUUUUGGGAAGACAUCUGGCUAGGCAAUGCCAGUCUUCGAGAACAAUAUCUAGCCUUGUAUAACAUCGCUCGCGAUAAGAAUAAAACUAUUGCGCAGGUGCUCAGCUCAUUCCCGCCCAAUAUUUCGUUUAGGCGGAAUUUGAUUGGCCCUCGUCUUACGUCAAGGUAUAAUCUUUUAUCCCGUCUGGAUUUGAUCAGUUUGACACAAGGUCGGGAUGUGUUUCGCUGGAACCUUACUGCAUCGGGGUCUUUCACAGUAGACUCUAUGCACCGUGCGCUCACGCAUUUGAGGUACCAGUGA